GGCCAGCAGCCGCGGUAAUACGUAGGGGGCGAGCGUUGUCCGGAUUUACUGGGCGUAAAGGGUGAGUAGGCGGUUAUUUAAGUCAGAUGUAAAAGGCUAUGGCUCAACUAUAGUAAGCAUUUGAAACUGGAUGACUUGAGUGCAGGAGAGGUAAGUGGAAUUCCUAGUGUAGCGGUGAAAUGCGUAGAUAUUAGGAGGAACACCAGUGGCGAAGGCGACUUACUGGACUGUAACUGACGCUGAGUCACGAAAGCGUGGGUAGCAAACAGGAUUAGAUACCCUGGUAGUCCACGCUGUAAACGAUGAGUGCUAGGUGUUGGCUAGCGAUAGUCAGUGCCGACGUAAACACAAUAAGCACUCCGCCUGGGGAGUACGGUCGCAAGACUGAAACUCAAAGGAAUUGACGGGGGCCCGCACAAGC
rnacentral:rRNA from 1 species